rnacentral:misc_RNA from 1 species
AAAGAAAAAAGAACACCACACCAUUAUAUUUCACAUCCCAUCCCACCCCACAAACAGAUUUCAGGGUUCUCAUUUUCUGUUCAGAAUUCUCUUUCCCUAGUAUCCUGCCUGAUUUCCAUCCAACGACGGCUACUUUCCGACGUUAAGGCUUGAAGCUCUGGGGGGCAAUUACUGUUUCGAGGGAAAUCUGAUAAGGCUUUUCUUUAUUGGCUUUCUUACUCGACCUCUCAUAGAUUCGACUACAGAGCAGACAACCUUUGUUUUGAUUUGGUUCACUCGUGCUCGGGCGAGGUGGUGGCGACUGUGCUUUUGAUUUGGCUUGAGCUCUGCUCAUUUAAGAUCUACCAAAUACAGAUCUGAAAUCCGCUUUCAAUCUUCUCCAACACUCCAAUUAGCUCGACAAAGUUUCACCUAAUCAUACCCAAUUCAUUGUAUAAUCGAUUGGCGGUGAAAACUCUGUGCGUGAUUUUGAAUUAUGUGGAGUUCCAUUGAGACUUUGAAACAAAACCUAAAUAAGAUUGCGCUGGAUGUGCAUGAUGUUGACGACGACGAAGAGGAGCUCGCGAUCUAUGGGUCCAGUAAUGGCAAUGAUUUAUCAGUCUCUCAUCGAAGAAAUUCGCACAGUUUGGCACAUUCCAAGUCGGUUUUGCAGUCUCCCUUGUCCAAUGGGUUAGACUCGCCGCAUAAUUCUGAGAUUGAACAAUAUAAAGCAGAAAUAAGGAGGCUCCGAGACUCUGAAGCAGAAAUUAAAGCAUUAUCAAUUAAUUAUGCGGCUUUGUUAAAAGAAAAAGAGGAUCAAAUUUCCAGACUGAACCAAGAUUUGGAUGUAACAAAGGAGACGCUUAAUGUUUACAAAAGUGAGAAUUCUAAAACAUCAACAAAUACCACCCAUGUGCUCAAGGGAAGUGGUGACCAAUCACCCAAACGACUGCAUAAAUCUACAAGCCAAGUAAAAAACCAUUAUGUGGGAAACCAAACAGAGAAUGGUGUUUUCUCAAAACAAGAUGGAGUAGGUAAUGGAAUCACACAUACUGAUGAAGUUAAUGCCAUUUAUAGUAACACGGAGCUCAAAAGCUCAAGUUCACAGGUGAAGCAAAAGGAACUUGCAGAUUUGCUUGAGAAAAACAGGUCCCUGACAGCAAUGCAAGCUACUUUUGAGUUGCAAAUAAAACAGCUUAGAUUGGAACUUGAAAAGGAACAUGAUAAAUUGGCAAAUGUAUAUAUAGAAUUACAAGAGGAACAAAAGUUGAACAAAUCUUUUCAGGAGGAGCUCAGGAUGCUAAAAGGGAAUGAAUCCAAGACUAAUAUGGAGAUGAGUAAAAUGCAUAGUGAAUUGAAUGAAAAAAUAUCAGAGAUAAGACGACUGCAAAUGGAGUUAAGUAGGAAGGAAGAUGAGGAUUCUGAUGAUGCAGUGAAGGAUUUGAGAAGGGUAAUUGCAACAUUAGAGAAGGAGAACACCAACCUUAAGAUAGCCAAGAAUGAACUCGAGGCUGCCAUGGAAAUGAGCAGAAAAGGUUCACCUCAAAAAACCUUCCCAGAUGGGAAGGUAGGUUCUUCUGGAAAUUUUCUCAGUAGGGAAGAAAUGGAGCUGUUAUUGCAAAAACUGGAGAAAGAUUUAAACGACAUGCGCCGUGAAAGGGAUAAAGCAGUGCAAGAAUUGACUCGUCUUAAGCAGCAUUUAUUAGAAAAGGAAUCUGAAGAAUCAGAGAAAAUGGAUGAGGACUUUAAGAUCAUUGAAGAACUUCGUGAGAAUAAUGAAUAUCAAAAGGCUCAAAUAUUACAUUUGGAGAAAGCUCUGAAGCAGGCAAUUGCCAAGCAGGAAGAAGUUGGGAUGAUUAACAACAAUGAAAUCCAAAAGUCCAAGGAAGUGAUUGAAGAUUUGAACAAGAAACUUUCAAACUGUAUAAGCACAAUUGAUUCACAAAAUGUUGAGCUUCUAAAUCUUCAAACUGCUCUUGGGCAAUACUUUGCUGAAAUUGAAGCUAAGGAACAUUUGGAGCGAAAUUUGGCUUUGGCAAGAGAAGAAACAGCUAAAUUUUCUGAGCUUUUGAAAGAUGCUGAACAAGGAACAGAAGCAUUAAAGAGAGAGAAAGAAGAAAUUUUGGCCAAGCUUUCCCAUACUGAAAGGACGCUUGCAGAAACAAAAAGCAGAGUAACCAAGCUUGAAGAAGACAGUGGAAAACUACGUCGUGCUCUUGAGCAGAGCAUGACCAGGCUUAAUAGAAUGUCCAUGGAUUCUGAUUACCUUGUUGACAGGCGCAUUGUGAUCAAAUUAUUAGUGACCUAUUUCCAGAGGAACCACAGCAAAGAGGUUUUGGAUCUCAUGGUUCGAAUGCUGGGAUUCUCUGAUGAAGAUAAGCAGCGAAUAGGUGUUGCUCAACAAGGUGGCAGAGGUGUUGUUCGGGGAGUUUUGGGACUACCUGGCCGCCUAGUUGGUGGAAUCUUGGGAGGAAGUUCAGCUGAUGCACGUGCUAAUGCAGCAUCUGAAAACCAGUCUUUUGCAGAUUCGUGGGUUGAUUUUCUUCUCAAGGAAAGUGAAGACAGGGAGAAGAGGGAAUCUGCUGAGGAUACAUCUAGACCUAACGAAGAUUCACAAGGAGUCAGUCCUAUGCCAGGAGUUGAUUUACCACCACCAACAGCAGCUACUGUAUCUGGUGUCUCGAGACCCAAAUUUUCUCCGCACCAGAACUAUAGUCCUCGCCCAAUUCAAGGAAAUUUACGGGCAUUUGAACCUUCUGAUUCUGAGUUCUCAACAGUUCCUUUAACAUCCUCAGAGAGCACUUCUCGGAUUUCAAGAUUACUGAAACAAUGAGAAUAUGUUAAACCAUGUAAUUAGUUGAAGUAUAAGAUUUAUUCCUUGAUGUUGUAGUUUGCAGCCUUGUUCGUUCAAUUCUUUCACAUUAAAAUUAAGAGAUUGUCCCAUAGUUGCUAUUGCAUAUAUAUUAAUGGAUCAAAUUCAUAUACUGAUAAGGCAUGAAAAUCCUAGGGACAUUUGGCAUAGAUUUCUUGUAAAACCUGUCUCAUCAAUGAUUUCAUGUUAAAUGUGAGCACCUUUUAUUCUCG